UACUAAAAUUCAAUUAGAUAGAAGUUAUUUAGUGAUGAAUUAAAUAAAUAUUAUCGAUAAAAUUCGUAGCUAAUUUUAUGUUUUUUAAAUAGUGACAUAUAGAAACUCAAGAAACAAACUCUAUUUCUACUAUAUUUUUGUAUAAAAUAUUAGGAGUAUUUAAUUUGUUGCCAUAAAAGGUACUUUUGCCAAACCUUUGAACAAGUUAGGAUUGAUUUUUGAAAUAGUAGGUGUUAUAGUUAGUUGUCGAUUGCAUGGAGAAGAUAAUAUUCUUUUACGUGGUAAUCUUUCUAGCAAUAGAAUAAGAUAUCAAGAUUUGUUUACCCUAUUAAAAUAUAUUUCUAGCCUUAGACAAACAUAGUAAGGAUUUCGUCAGAUGGCGAAUUUAGAAUUUUUUUAUUUUUAUGACUAAAACAAUUUAAAGAUAUUUUUAUAUGCCUGUGGUAUAUGGUAGUUGUUUAGCUUCCUUUUCUUUUCAAUUAUUAAUAUAGAAUUUUAUUUGUGCACUCAACAAUCACCCUCUCAAACUAAGUUUUGCAUAUUUAAUAUCACCAAGAUUCAUGGGUUAAUUUGAAGAUUAAUCACAAUGUAUCACACAACAUCAUUUCGAGUAUUUAUGAAAUCAAUAUAACCAACAAGGGUUGUGGUGGAGUGGUAAGUACUCCUUCAUCCUUAACCAAGAGGUCUCAGGUUUGAGCCCCCUUGGAUACGGAGUCGCCUUUGUUAGGGAGCGCUUUACCUCCAAUGUGGGACUUUCCGGCACGAAUCCGUAUUUAGUCGGGCUCCAAUGUGGGUACCGGACACCGAGUGGGAAACCAAAAAAAGAAAUCAAUGUCUACAAGUUUUUUAUUUUGUGUGUGCAUCUCCAAAUUACGAGCAAAGGUAACUUGGAGUCAUUACUAUGUCCUCGUGAUCUCCGUACUUGUCUCAAUAAAUCAUUAAUACUGAUAUUAGUUGUUACGCUAAAAUAACUAAAAAAAAUACUUUUAACAUGGUGAGAUAUUAUCAAUUUUAAACAAAAUUUGUGUGAUUUUUACAAAAUAAAUUCUUAUACCUAAUAUUUAACUUCCUUUUUCUUUUCAGUUACCUAUAUGAAAUUUUAUAUGCAUACUCAACAAAUUUGGAACCAAAUCAUCCACCAAAAUUAUUAUAAUCGUUUUCUUAAUUAUUAUUUUAUUUACAAAAAUCAUAAUCAUUUUCUCAUUAUUCUCUUUUUCUUAAUUAUUAUUUUCUAUAUAAAAAUCAUAAUCAUUUUCUUAUUAUUCUCUGCAUAAUACAUAUAAAUUAACGCAAAGUUAAUGGAUUCAAGCAUACUUUGUCUUGUGUGUGGAUUCACCCCUGCAUGCUCUUAUGGAACAACACCUCCACCAUCACUCGAUAAGUAGAAAUAUUAUUGAUUCUCUUGUACUGAGAAAAAUAAAAAAAUCCAUACAAUAUAAUGUAUAGUAACAUUGGAUUUAGAUGUGUGUACUCUGAUUGGGCAGAGUAGCACGUUGAGUUAUUAAAUACAUAGUUCUAUUUGUAAUCAUUUUUUAAGUGAUCUAAUUGUGUAAAUCUUAUGGUAUGUAUUGUAAUUUACUGAGCAGCUGAAGAUAACAAGUCCUCGUCAUAAUAAAGUUGCAUGUAAUUAGGCUAAUCACUUGUAAUCUAUUGUACUUAAUGUUAUGAUAUAUUUUCUUAGUGAUAAUCUGGGACCAGUUAUAAAUUUUCUUCUUUCCAGUUCAUAUCCUCCUUUCAUUAAUUUAGCCAAUUAAUUGAUACAAAAUAAUUAAUUAAUGGAUACAAGAUUCACUAGAGUUAAUGGGAACAAAAAUCUCUACAUCGUAAUUUAAUUAUGGAAUUUUAAGUGGAUUCUUUAUGCUUCCUUGAUAAUUCUCUAAGUUAGCUUUUGAGCAUGAAUAAUUCUUAACAUGAUGUAAUUAGAGUCACACUUAUUUCAAUUCUUGAUUUAUCUGAUGUUGGAUACUCAUAUUAUGUUGUUUACGCUUCAGUUGACAGAUCUAGGCGCGCGUACUACAGAUCUAUAGAGAAUGCAUGUUAAUAGUCGCACAUAGUUCUUGACAUGGAAAAGUGGACUCUUUAUGUGAUCUUGGUCAAUCUUCAACUACCGAAAUAAAAUUCUAGAAUUGAAUCAUGCCCAAAAUUCAUUUCUUAACCCAAUUCAAUAGCUGCAUAAGUAAUAAAAAGAGGAACAACAUUGCUGCGUUAUAAUAACUUACUAAGUAAUAAUUUGAACCGUCACUAUACAACAAACACUACAACAAAUUUGCCCUCCAACAACAGUUGAAAAAUGUGGCCUAAACUAUAAAUAAAUAUAGCCUUUGAUCGAAGGCCACACUUUUUUACCUAUGACAACGCUUUUAAGGGGGUGGCCUAAACAAGCGUAACCUUUUCCCUAAGGCAACACUUUUAAGAGGAAAAGACUACGAAUUACAAGAAGCGUUGCCUUUGCAUUCACCUAUGACAACGCUUCUGUAUACCAUCUACGGGCACACUUUUGUGCUUUAAAACAACACUUUUGAAGUGUCACAUUUCAUUCUUUAUAGGCAACACUUUAAACUUGUUGCUUGUUUUUCAACAUUCAGCCACACUAUAAAAAUGUUGGUGAAGGUAGUUAUGUCUAUAUCUAUGUGGCCACAUUUAUACAAGCUAUGCCACGACUUUCUAAUUAAAAAUUAAAAUAUAAUAACAGUAUUUUUUAAAAAAAUUUAUUAUUAUAAUAUGUAUCUUGAAACCACUUUUUAAAUAAGAAAUAUAAAGCAUCACAUUAAAUAAUAGAGAACCAAAAAUAUCUUCACAAUACAAAAACUUUGAAAUAUUCUAAUAUUCAACAUCAACAGUUAGUAAUGCAAACUACUUCAAAGUUGUGCAAUAGUACUUUUAAUAAAUUUAAAACAUCCAAACUAUUCAUGUAGUAUCAUGAAUAAUAUUAGAUCAUAAAUGAAUAAAAUUGGUCAACCGAAUCAACUCAACUUUUCGGCCACCAUUUCCAAUUGCAUCGCCAUAAGUUUCCUACAGGUUAAAAGUGAAAUUGAAACUUGAUUAGAUAGAAAGUAAGUAUACUUAGAAAAUGUAAAACUAUAAUUCAAUAAUAUGUCAAACUGCAUUUAUGCAAAAAUAUAAUAUUAAUCUACAAUCUCGUUAUGAUGUGGGAGGCAGUAAAUCAUAGAUAUGCAGAAACACAUGAAAAUAAUGCUAAAAUGCAGCACACAAAUGCAGAAAAAUGUGGUAUUGAUUACAUAAAUGUAGAAAUAUAGAACAAACUUGAAGAAACAUAAUGCAGAAAAUAAGAACGCUGCAUAAAUGAAAAAGAUUGUAGAUAUCUUAGUAUCUAGUACCUAAAUAUAGUCAAACCGAUAAUACCUUUCCAAGAGUCGGGCCAUGAGUUAAUCCAGAGGAACGUGGAAGAUUUUGGCCUCUUGUAGCCCGUGCACUACUAGAACCAACCGGAGAUGGUUGGUCAGAUCCGAUAAACCCUUCUGCAUCCUCAAGGUUUAGUCCAGGAUUAUUUUUUACCAACAAUUUCAUGAGAUGUCGCAGUUGUUGCAAUUCUUGCACUUCUUCCUUCAAUCCCUCCAACUUUCUCAAUUCAACCACUUCUUCCUUCAAUUCUUUAACUUCUUCCUUAAAUGAAUUGAUUUCAUCAACAUGUUUUUGUUUGAUUUUGUUGAUUUCCUCAUCUUUUUUUAAAGAAGUUCUUGUCACAGAUCUACCAUAGCAUCGAACUCGACCAGGCUGCUCAUUUCCAAACACUGCCUUAAAUGAGUCAUCUGUUGUUUCCCCCAAGUGUUGACGAUUUUGAAGUUCAGCCUAUAAAUAAUACAUUAGGAAUUGUCUUGAUAAAGCAAGAUGAGAGCUAAAAGUCAAACACUGCCUUAAAUUAAGGUCAUGAAUCUUGUCAUAAGCAGGAAAGAAACAACACAUUGAAGUUACUGUACAUACAUGAUUACUUAGUUGAAAAGUCAAGGGAUUUGAAAAGCAAUUAACGGUCAAAAGAAUUACUUACAAUUACAACUUCAGUUUCAGAAUCAACUUGUUUUUCAUUCUUCGUACGAGUUGCAAUAAACAUUUCAGCCUUUGAUGGUUCCUCAUUAUUCUCUUUGGUUGCACGCUACAAAAAAAGUAAAAAAUAUAAGCAACUAAUAUGUAAUCUAACAAAAUAUAAAAGAUAAAAAAAUAUUUAUCUACAAAGUGUCUAAAAUGAUACCAGUGCCAUGCGUACUCUUCCAAAAUUAACAGGCCUCAUUCGAUGCCUCCAUUUUUGUUUCUUUCUGUUUUUGAGAAUUUAAAGAACACAUGGCCUGUAAUUUAAGAAAAAGUAAUUAAUAUAUAUAUGGGCUAAAGAAUUAAAUGCAUUAUUUGUAUCUCACUUUAACAGUUGGAAGCUCCCAAUACUCUAUCAACUGGUGAAAUUGAACUUAUGGUAUCCAACUAGUACAAUUUUUUAGCCUAUCUUCCAGUGUUUUAUACUUAUCAAAAUAAUUCUCCUUAACAUAUCUCUUAUGUCGCCUCCAAGCAUCACAAAGACCAUCCAUCACCCAUUUUUCUCCUUCUGCUGGAAUUAUAAACUUGGUUUACACAAAUAACAUAUAUGUUACUAGUAAAAUAGACAUAAUAAAACAGAAUCAUAAAAGGUUGAGUAUUCUUACAUUGACAUAUUCCCACAUGCGUAGUUUAGUAUCUUUUGGCACAGCAGGCCAACCAGUAUACAACAAGGUGAUGAAUCUAGAGUUCCUAGCAAUUGUUCCUAGAAAAUUGCUCAAAUCAGACACUCUUUUUCCAGUUGGUUCGAUAGCUUGUCCAUGAUCAAAUGUCACCUCCUCUCUUUCUUCAAAAUUUCUUGCAUGAAUAGUCUUACAUGUUGUGUGUCCUCGAACCUUUUUCUUCUCCAAAGUUCCUGAUUUAAUGUAAUAUUAAUAAAUAAGAUAAAACAUACUAUACAACUAUAAAAUUUACAAUGCGAGUUAAACUUAUAUAACUACCAAAAGAAGAUUUAAAACAUACCAUCUUUAGAACAAUUUAUGUCCAUAUUUUUAUCUCGAACACACUCAUCAACUUAUUCAGGCGCAACACCAUCAGCCACUUCGAUAUUGUUUUCAUUAAUACAUGGAGAUGGCAUAUAUCUAACAUCAUCUACUGGCUGAAUAUAAGGUUCUUCUUCACCACCACAUGUAUCCCAUUUUUUUCUAGAAAAUGAUUAAGACUCAUCGCUGGUACAAGUGACUUUUUCUUAGCUUUUUUGUAAUUUUGUAGCUCCUCAAUAUCAAGUUGAUUUUCUUCUUCACCUUGUGUUCUUUCAGUCAUAUGGAAAGUGUUAACUUCUUUCCUUGAUAAAAGUUAGGUCACAGAUUUAUGUAUAGGUAGUUUACUCCUCUCUUGCAUUUGAAUUGACCCCUCAAACUGAAUUGAUCUCUGCAUAGGUUGUCUUUCACUUUGCAUUUGAUGUAACAGACAUACAAUUCUUCCUUUUAUAAGGUGGUGCCUGAUCGAAAUUUUUUCCUUUCAUAACUAGAUUCUUGCGUUCAUUGUCAAGUUUUUCCUUCUUAAUUUGAAAUUGUUUGCGCAGCUGAACACUUGAUCAGAAUUGAUAAUCAAAACUUACAUUCUUUAUUGGACUUGAACCGUUGUUAGAAUUCAGAACCUUUUUCUUUAAGGCUGCUCCUUGAUUCAUUCUUCAUAUAAAAAUAAUAGUUAGUAUAGCAACUAAUAAGAAUUUAGUGCAGAAAAUAUAAAAAUGCAGUGUAAAAUUUGCAGAAAAUAUAAAAAUAUAGUGCUGAAAAUUAAAAGGUAGUGCAACAAUGCAGAAAUAUAGUGCAGAAAUGCAGAAAUAUAGUGCAUAAAAUAUAAAACAAUGCAGAAAAUACAAAACUAAAGUGCAAAGUGUGCAAAAAAUGUAAAAAUACAGAACAGAAAAUAAAGAAACAUAGUGCAGAAAAUUAAAAGAUAGUGCAGCGAUGCAGAAAUGUAGAAAUAUAGUGCAGAAAUUCAGAAAUAUAGUGCAAAAAAUAUAAGACGCUGCAGAAAAUACAAAAUUGCAGUGAAAAGUGUACAUAAAAUGUAAAAAUGCAAAACAGAAAAUAAAGAAACAUAGUGCAGAAAAUUAAAAGAUAGUGCAGCAAUGCAAAAAUGCAGAAAUAUAGUGCAAAAAAGAUAAAACAAUGCAGAAUAAUUACUAAGUAAUAAUUUGAACCGUCACUAUACAACAAAUUUUAACUACCACUUAGUACUUGAGAAUUUAAUUAAAGUGAUAUAUAGUAUAUAUAUACUUUGAAAGACUUUUUAAUUGAUUGGAGUUGCCAUCAGUUGUUGGAGAAACCAAUAGUGUUAAAAGUGCACUUCCAUUAUAUGAGUGUGUACAAUCAUAUAAGAAUUUUAGUGUAUUCUACUUGCAGUUUGGAGAAACUUUUUCAUUAACAAAGUACUAUAACAAAGUAUAUUUAGGGUGUGUUUGGUAUGAAGGAAAACAUUUUUCGGAAAAUGUUUUUUCAAUUUUCUCAUGUUUGGUUGGGAGGAAAGUUUAGGAAAAUGUUUUCCAAAUCAACUCAUUUUUCUCAAAUUAAAGGAAAAUGACUUCCCUUUAAAACUUAAGGAAAACAUUUUCCUAAACUUUCCUCCAACUUCAUAUUACAAUUUUUUUGUUGAAAAAAUUAAAUUUUUUUGUUGAACAAAUAAAUUUAAAGCUUAUAUUUAAAAAACAUUUUCAACUUCAAUUUUUUUAUUUUUUUACCCACCCUCACCCCAACCCCCACCCCCCUCCCCACCAAAANNNNNNNNNNNNNNNNNNNNNNNNNNNNNNNNNNNNNNNNNNNNNNNNNNNNNNNNNNNNNNNNNNNNNNNNNNNNNNNNNNNNNNNNNNNNNNNNNNNNNNNNNNNNNNNNNNNNNNNNNNNNNNNNNNNNNNNNNNNNNNNNNNNNNNNNNNNNNNNNNNNNNNNNNNNNNNNNNNNNNNNNNNNNNNNNNNNNNNNAUAUUCCAUACACUUAUACUCAAAUCAUUCAGAUAUUAAUCCAAUAUCGCACAAAUCCAUGGUAUAAACAGUAUACACAAUAACAAAAAAAAAAAAAAAAAAAAUCAAUGUUUGUUUUUAAAAUAUAUUUUCAAUUUUAAAUUUUUAUUUUUUCACCCCCCCACCCCCAAUCCCCAAAAAAAAUUUAAGUUUAUUUUUAAAAAAUAUUUUUAAUUUCAAUUCAAAAUUAUUUUCUACUCUCUAGUAAAAAAAAAGAUAUUUUCUCAAAAAUAAUUAUAUUCAUAAAUCAAACACUAAAAAAUCUUUUCUACUCAUCAACCAAACAUGAUAAAAUAAAUCAAAAGUCUACUAGUUUUCCAGGAAAACAUUUUCCUUCAUACCAAACACACCCUUAAUGUAAAAUCAUUUCCUAUUUAAGAAUCACAUAACAGAGUUCUUAAUUUGACAUUUGGAAAGUUACUUUUUAUCAGAUAGAUUAAAGAACAUAAUUUUGUAAGAAUAGCUAACACUAAGAAUCACAUAAAAAAUAUGUUCAUCAACAUCUGGAAAGUUUUAAGUUGUUUUUAUUUAGAAAAUUAUAAGUUCAAUAAUUAUAGAAUGCACUAAAUUUGGUAAAGUUGGACGGCACAAUAAUAUCACUUCAUUCCUACCUAAUAAAUGAUACUACAAAAUAUGGACACAACAUAAAGUUGUAAUUUGUGAAAUAUUUUCAGAUUAUAUUUUAUGCAGAGUCCAAGUUCUAAUGUUAGUAGCUCCUUCAAACUUUCAAGACUCAAGUAUAUUCAGCUAGUUUUGAGAAUAAAAGUCGAUUUUUAUAAAAUAAGAAAUCAUUGCUAGUAAUAAUGACUUGUCACGAGUUUAUUAGCUUUGAUAAAACUCGGAAGCAAGAUAUAGCAGUAGUAACUUGUUAAAUAAGGUGAGCAGAAAUCAAUACACUAAGGGCCCGUUUGGCCAUGCGAUAUGGUAUCAUGAUAUGGAAUCAUGAUAUGGUAUCAUGAUAUGGAAUCAUGAGAUGAAAUUGAAGGUUUGUUUGGACAUGUGAUAUGGAAUCAUGAUAUGGAAUCAUGAGAUAAAAAUCUCAUAAGUUGUAAAACUAUUAAAAUAGCCCCAAUUGUUUAUUCAAUCUUAUCAAAUAAACAAAAAAUUAUAAAAUCGCAUAAUAAAUUAUUACAAAGAGAUUUGUUUCCCACUUAAAUAACUGUUUCAUCAAACUUAAAUUCAAUAAAAAAAAUUGAACAUAAAUUGUACUUGAUAUGCUCAUAUCUCUCAACUACUCUUACAAAUAACCUAUAAAGUAGGGAAAAAACAUACAUUAGUGAGUAAAUAUUAACUUAGAAGUUAAAUACACUAAGAUAAAAAUUAACAAACAUCACUGACUUCUAACUAUUUACAAGAAAAAUCAAUAGUUAAAUAUUAUUGAAUAACGAAAUUUUAAAAAGUUACCACAAGUUUGAGUCAAAAACACUUCUAAUAAAAUUUAAUCAAAAAAAUUAUAACUAGUCCACUUGACUAAAUAUUAAUAACUAAUUGAUCAAAUUUUCCCAAGUCCUCAAUCAAUUGGACUUGAUAUUCUUCAGUCAUGUGAACGAACAUUUUGCGAAUACUAAGAUUAAGAAAGUGCGGCACCGCCAAUGAAAAUUGUCUUUUAUCAAUAUUAUGCUUAGUCAUAAGAUUAAGACGUUUUUUUUAUUAUGAAAAAUCAAAAAAGUAUUACUCCCUUCGUUCUUAUUUAUAUUCACCAAAUGAAUUUCUACUUUAUCAUUUAUAUUCACCAAAUUUAAAGUAAUAAUAAAUUUUAUAUUGGUGAGAAUAAUAAAUUUUAAAAAGUAAUGAUGUGAUUAUAAAUUUUAUUUACAUAUGAAACAAAUGGUUAGUAGAUAUAAAUGUGGGGUUGUUUUAACAAAAUAUAAACUCAUGGAUCAAUUAUUGAAUUAAAAUAUCUCAAAUCAUGAUAUGGAAUCACAUGGUGAUUCCAUAUCAUGGUUUUUGGAGAAUAUGAUAUCACCUCUCAUGAUAUGGAAUCAGCGUAAAAUCGCAUGUCCAAACGCUGAUUCCAUCUCACGAUACCAUAUCGUGAUAUGGUAUCGCAUGGCCAAACGAUAUGGUGUCGUGAGAUGGAAUCAGCGUUUGGACAUGCGAUUUUACGCUGAUUGAAUACUAAGAUUAAGAAAGUGCGGCACCGCCAAUGAAAAUUGUCUUUUAUCAAUAUUAUGCUUAGUCAUAAGAUUAAGACGUUUUUUUUUAUUAUGAAAAAUCAAAAAAGUAGUACUCCCUUCGUUCUCAUUUAUAUUCACCAAAUGAAUUUCUACUUUAUCAUUUAUAUUCACCAAAUUUAAAGUAAUAAUAAAUUUUAUAUUGGUGAGAAUAAUAAAUUUUAAAAAGUAAUGAUGUGAUUAUUGAAACAAAUGGUUAGUAGAUAUAAAUGUGGGGUUGUUUUAACAAAAUAUAAACUCAUGGAUCAAUUAUUGUAUAAAAAUAUCAUGGUUUUUGGAGAAUAUGGUAUCACCUCUCAUGAUAUGGAAUCAGCGUAAAAUCGCAUAUCCAAACGCUGAUUCCAUCUCACGACACCAUAUCGUGAUAUGGUAUCGCAUGGCCAAACGCCUACUAAUUAAAGCUCUACAAAACUUUGAGAUGCCUCAAAAUUCUAGUUGGCGCUAAAAUGAAGCAACUACAUGUACUGUUGACAAGCUAUUCAAAUUAGUCGUAUUAUUGCUAUACUUUGACAUUUCUUUGCAAUAACAAAGCUUCUUAAGGCACAUAUGUCGUGAUUGUGCAUACUUUUUUCUUGACAUUAGUCCUUCUUGAUUAUGCAGAAAUUUAUUCUUUGGACCUGAUGUCAGGUCAGUCUUUAUGACUAUCUUCCUAAUAGUUGCUGUUUUUUCAUGUGUCUUUGUUGCGAGGAAAUUGUUGGUCAGUGCUCUCCAGCUAAAGUUAGCGGCUUUGAAGGUCUUCAGAGAUGGGCCAUUGUGUGAAGACCGAGCAAUGAGAGUCUGGUGAACUUGCUCGAGUUGAAAAAAAUCCUUCUAUUCAUUAGUACUUUUAGAAGCAGAACAUUAGUUGCUCUGCAAGUAUUAAAAUAAUUAAGUAAUAUCUAACGUGAAAAUGAAUAGGGGCAAUAUUCUUGGUAAUUCAAUUAAAAUUAUGAAUAAUUGGAGGAGAUUAUAAAAUAACAAUAAAGAUCCAUUAGGAAUGAUUAAAUUAUGUAUGUUAAUGAUUGAGGUACGAUGAAAUGAUUGACACUUCCACUUAAUUAGAGAAUUUAUGGAUUUGUCUCUUAAGUGUAAGUCAUAAUAUAAUUGUUAUUGGCCCACUUUUGACUAAUAUAGAUUUUUCUAACUACUGAGUAAUAAAUAAUGUAAAAGGAAAAAACAAUAAGAAGUGAUAUAUGUGACAUUGUUCAAUUUGAUAAAAACCUUUAAAAAAAAUAAUAUUUUUUGUAAUUUGUAAUCUAUAAUAUUUUUUGAUAAUUUGUGUGACUGUAAUUCAUUUCUUUAAGAGUAAAUGGAAAAUUUUACGAAAAUGUGACAUUCUUUUUGGAACGGAUUAAAAAGAAAUGCAUGUCACACAAAUUAAAAUAGAAAAAAAUAUUAUAUUUAAAAUGUAACAUUUGUCAUCUUUUAAAUAAAAUAACUAUAUGCUAUAAUAGGUAAAUAUAAAAUAAUGGUAUAACAAUUGCAUAUACUAACAUGUGUAUAACUCAAGUAUUUUGGCAAUUGAGUUCUAAAAACUAACAAGAAAAAGAGAUUUUUACUAAGGACACCAAAAACAAAUGCCCAAUGACCAGAAAUAGCCAUCUCUUUUUCUUUUCUCAAAAUGAAAAUUUCUCUCUUUGUUAAUCUCUCAGUUACAAAGAAUUGCAAGUACUUGAUUGAUAAUGAAAUGAGGAGUGCUCACUUCACAUAUUUAUAUAGCAAGGCUACAAGUAUAUAAUAUUAUUGGAUAUAUAUGUUCUAUAGUUCUCCAAUUUAAAUUUUUAUUUCAAUUAGUGCUUUAUGUGUUAUAAUUCAAUUUGUAUACAAAACAAAACACCUUUUGAUCCUUAAACCUUUUUGGGUUCGAUAUAUCCUCAAAAUAAAAGGUCCCAUUUUGCUCUUUUAUUAUGUCAUCGUCCUAUCUAUGAGGCACUAAAGCUUCCAACUAUGGCACUACAAUUUUGAAAAAGGUUUUAAUUUGAUCCUCAUUUAUUUUGUGUACAAAUAAUGUGAUCCUAGUCAGCAAAAAAAAACAAUCAACAAAUGAUGGGAGGCACCUAUCAAUGUUUGCCAAUUGGCACCAAUAAUAGAUGUUUUUUGGCUCAAUGAAGAAUGAAAAAAUAUCACAUUCGAUAGUUAAUGAGAUGGGUGAUAUACAAGGUUUAGACAAUAUUCGUAGUUAAUAAUGAGAUGGGUGAUAUACAAGGUUUAGACAAUAUUCUUCCUUUGAGCUAGUAUUUAGGGUGUAAGUUAGGUUCAACACCUAAUUUACAUGGUAUUAAGAUAGAACUCAUCUCUCCUGAUGUUGGGACCCCAAAUUAAAAAUCAUAUUGCUCAAAUAGUGCAUCAUAUAAAUUGAAAUGGAUGAAGUAUUAAAUUCAAGUUAAAUUUGAGGGGCGAAAGAUACAAUUGUUAUAGUGAUAUUUAGUGUUAAAAUAUAUUUUUUAGCAGCAAUAUUUAUUUCUGCAAAAAUAUUUUGCGGCAAUUGAGUUAGUAUCAUUGCAUUCAAAGUCAUAGAAGCUUAUAGCGGCAUUUAUAUAAAAUAUUGAUCAUAAAAUACUCAUAUUUUAUUAUUACCACUAAAUAUGAUAUAAUUGUAAUUAUAAAUCAUUUAUUUGUUAUAUAUAGUGGCUUAGAAUAAUUAAAUAGUGUGUCCAAAUAUGCGCAAUAGAAAUAUUUUCUAGUAAUGCCUAAAUUUGUGUAUAAUAUUAUGGCAAAUUACUAAACUACACUACAUAUGUUUACAUAUUCUCGUUUAAUUCCUAUUCUUUCAUAAAAAUUCAAAAAUCCCUAUUUUUCUCCAAAUCCUCUAUUCCGGAUACUUUAUUUUGAAAGAACCCAAAACCAACCUUUCUCAUCCCCAAAAUCUCGCCUCUAAUCUUUCUCCACUACCAAAUCAGUUACUGAAUUCAAAGCAAUUUGAUUUUCAAAUGAUUCUAUCUCUAUUCAACCAUCCAAAGUUCAAACUAGGUAUUAUCAUCUUUUUCAUUUUUCUUUCAAAAUCAAUUUUUGUGUUUCAAUCGAUUUUGGAUCAAUUGUCAAAAUGGAUCAUCCGUCUUUUAAUAUUGAAAUUUCCCAAAUAAUAACACCUAACAAUGAUCAAUUUUUUUAUUCAGAAGACCCCAACUGGGCAGAACAGAGGUCUAAAAGUUUGCAUGCACCGGCAUUAAUGGCAAAUCAAACUUCUAUGAAGAGAAAAUCCAAAAAGAAAGUGGGGGCAUCAUCUAAAGCAAAAGAUGCAAAAACUCAAAAGAAAAGGGGUAGAAAGGUUGCCCCUCCCAUUUCUCGACCAACACUACCCAUGGUAUGCAUUUCUUUUGCUUUUAAUUUAGACCUGUCAGUAUUGUAUCCACCCAACUUUACUUACACAUUUCAUUCAAUUUAUAAUGUAUCUUCUUUUUGUUUGCAGUGAAUGCGGAACGUAUGUAGCUGUUUUUGCUGAAUUUCUGAGCGACGAAAUGAAGGUCCCAUCGAUUCCUUUUCGAAGUGACUAUCUUCGCUCAAGAUAUGCAACACUGUUAUGGAAAUAUGGUACCGACAAAGCCAAGGCGGGAUACGUUAGAAAGAGUGAUGAUCCUACAAGGCUAAAGGGUGCCUUCAUUCCAUUGACAGAUGAUGAACUGAUAAAUGUAGAGUAAUAGUUUAUUUACUGACUUACAGUCAAGAUGACAAAGUUUUAUUAUUUUGAAGAUACAUUAGGUGUUUUGGAGUAUUCCUCCCCAGGUCAACAUUAUAUUUCUAAGUAAUUCAUACUUCUAAAUUUGAAGAGUUUUUUAUGUCCAUAAUUUUUAUGUCGCUUUUAAAUUCGUUUUCAAUUUAUUUUAAUACCUUAUUAAUUUUUGUAUAUUAUAAGUAUUAUACAUAUCACUACAGCUUCUACUACAGUGAAUCUGAUACAAAAUUUCCACAAAAUUAUCAAGUAUAUGAUACAAAAUUAUUUUCACAAAUAACAAAAUUUUAUUCUUCACACAACAUGGUACAAAUUAUAUUUUAUAAGAUUGGUACAAAUCAUAACAAAUGAUACUAAAUCAUUAUCAUUUACAUAAUAUUAUGUAUAUGAUACUUAGGUGCUUCAAACAUCUCAAAUUGAUACGAUUUUAUUAUUUCAUGCCGAAGUUACAAAGAUAUUAAGUAUCAAAUACACAAAAUUGAUACCAAAAUUACUCUAACUUUUUUUAAGCUGAUAUUAAAUUUCCAGAAAAUUAUUAUGUAUAUGAAACACAAUUGCGUUCACAAAUAUUAAAAUUGUAUGUAUAUGAUAUAUAAUAUUGGUAAAAAAAAUACAACUUUCGAUACUCUAUUAUUAGUAGAUACAAAAAUUUAGAAGAAGAUAUUAUGUAUAUGAUAUAUCAUUGCUUCAAAUGAUACCUUUUUUACAUGUUGUCUCUUUUAACUUUGGCACACAUCGUUACAAAGAUAUUAAAUAUCAAAUACCCAAAACUGAUACUAAAAUUACUCUAACUUUGUUUAAGCUGAUAUUAAAUUUCCAGAAAAUUACUAUGUACAUGAAACACAAUUGCGUCCACAAAUAUUAANNNNNNNNNNNNNNNNNNNNNNNNNNNNNNNNNNNNNNNNNNNNNNNNNNNNNNNNNNNNNNNNNNNNNNNNNNNNNNNNNNNNNNNNNNNNNNNNNNNNNNNNNNNNNNNNNNNNNNNNNNNNNNNNNNNNNNNNNNNNNNNNNNNNNNNNNNNNNNNNNNNNNNNNNNNNNNNNNNNNNNNNNNNNNNNNNNNNNNNNNNNNNNNNNNNNNNNNNNNNNNNNNNNNNNNNNNNNNNNNNNNNNNNNNNNNNNNNNNNNNNNNNNNNNNNNNNNNNNNNNNNNNNNNNNNNNNNNNNNNNNNNNNNNNNNNNNNNNNNNNNNNNNNNNNNNNNNNNNNNNNNNNNNNNNNNNNNNNNNNNNNNNNNNNNNNNNNNNNNNNNNNNNNNUUCCGAUACUCUAUUAUUAGUAGAUACAAAAUUUAGAAGAAGAUAUUAUGUAUAUGAUAUAUCAUUGCUUCAAAUGAUACCUUUUUUACAUGUUGUCUCUUUUAACUUUGGCACACAUCACAUCUAUUGAUACUAUUAUUCUAUCCCAUACAAAAUUUACAAACAAUUAAGUAUCAGACACACAACAAUGUAUACCAAACUAACUUUAUCAGAAAUUAACAAUCAAAAAAUAUAGCCAGAAUUCAAAACAUAACAUUUUUCUUUUAUUGCAUCAUGAAUUAGGAAUCACAAAUUUUCGAUUCAACAAUGCUAGAGCCUUUGCGUCCCUUUUUUCACCUUCAAAACACACAAUUGCACCUGUUAUUGCAUCAAAAUUUUGUAUCUCUUCAUCACUUUUAUCUGAUGUAGCAAUGCAUAGUGGAUACAUACCGAAUCCUACCUCAUGUUUCUUCACUUCUAUGUACAAUUUCACCCCACAUCAUUCCGAAUACACAAUGGAGAUGAAUUACCUUCUACGACGUAUCUGAUCUCCAUAUAUUUUUUUGAUUCAUCAACAUUCAAUUUUGCUGCAAUUGCUGAAUUAAGAUUAACGAACGAAAUAUUUUCCCCAACCACUAUGCCAUCACUUCUGUAUCGCUUGUAUCUAACAUCACUUUCCCAUAUUCCUGAAUGCCUUAACAAGAUCGAAAUAUUCAUUACAAAUCUUCACCAAAGAAUGCACUGCAAAUUUUUUUGAAUCAGCCUUCAGGAGCUUUUAGCAAAAUCGGAAGAGAGAAUUUCAAAAUUUGAAAUUUUAGUUCAGUAAUCGUUUUAUGAAUGACUGAUUUGUAGAUGAAAGAAACGUAUGCGUGAAUUAUGGCAGUCAAUUUUUAUUUCUGUUUUAAAUCCCUUAUUUAACACACUAAACUGAUAAAAUCCCUUUUUUAACGCACUGAACUGAUAAUUACAACUUCUAAAUUAAAGUAUCCGCCCGCAUAUUAAAGUAUCCGCAAGAAAAUAAAAUAAAGAGAAUUUUGUAAUUUAUGAAAGAGUAGGGAUAGAAAGUAAUUUGUUUAUUAUACUAUGUGCUUUGUAUAAUUUUUACUAUUAUUAUUGUCUUUUGAACUUCUUUUUUCCCUUUAAAUUGGAUAAGAUUUAUUCCCUUUUCCCUUUAAAAUAAAAAAGGGAAAAUGGUGGGAGACAAUAAAACGACGAACCUUUAGGAUUUAUGUGGCUACAGUUCUCCUAAUUUCAGCAGCCAAAUACAUGCCUUCGAAUUCAAUUAUGUACAUUCUCAAUUAUUGAACAAAACACUAUAAAUUAUAUUUUGGUUAUAAAAUUAGAGUAAACAAGAAACAAUACUAAAAGAUGAGAGGUCUUGGAUUUGAGUCUCUCUGAAUAUUGAGUUGCUUUUUUAAGGAUCACUUUAAAUACUUUUUGGUGCAAAUUCGAAUUUAGUCGAGCUACAGUGUAAAUAUCUGAUACUGGAUGGAGACAAAAAAAAAAUAGAAAAAAAUGAGUUUUUAUUUUAUUUUAUUCAAGUGGGUACAAUACAAACUCAUAUGUUUGUAUUUAUAGUACUGUUACAUAAAGACAUUGACAUAAAGAUAGUCAUAAAUAUGAUGUAUUAACCAAGAAUGUUGAAAAGGUUACGAAAGUGUGAGAGAUUAUUACAAAGAUUAUGAAGGUGGAGAAGUUAAUUACAUAAUAAUGGAAAUUAUCGUAUACCUUAAAGUAAUGGACAUACAUUAAUAUAAUAAUAUAAUUAACAAAAUUUUGUUACUUUGGGGGUUCUCUCUUUUCUUGUACAGGUUGGCUCCGUCUAUCAGAAGCUAGAAAUUUUACGAUAUUCAAAAUUUUAUUGUAUAUCUCUAAAUAAUUUAUUUUUUUAUUUAUAUACACAAUAUUAUUUUCUACAAGCACAAAUCAAAAUAUAAUUUUUCGACAAAAAAUAUUUCAAUUAUCACUCCUUGGACCAAUAUAGCUAUGCCACUACCGUCGACCACAAAAUAGCUUUUAUUACUCGUGGUGUUAUAAUGUUAUUCUAUACGUUUGAAACAAAAAAAAAUUAUUAUUAUAUAUGCGUACAUAUCGCUUGCUUGAUUUUUAUUCUUUGUAAAAAGGUUACAUAAAUUAUUUAGACUUCAUUCAAUAAUAAAAUAGUUGAUCAUUUCAUGUACUUUUUCAGGGAUAUAUGGGAAAGAAGUAUUAAUCUCAAAUAGUUUUAUAUUAUUGUUCAGAAUGUAAAUAGUUAUUAAUUACACCACCAAGAAUAAUGGUGAUGGGUUGAUUUCAUUCUUUAAGCAGAGGUUACGGAUUCUUGAGAAUAUAAUUUUUUUUGAUGAAAAAUGAUUUUCUUUUUGAUAAUUUUUAUAUGGUAUGAAUUUCGAUCAGUUGAAGGAAGCAAAAUGCAUUACAUUGAUUCUGAACUAAUUUUGUACUGUAUAUCUAACUGCGGGCCUAAUUUUCAUUACUUUAAUUGGCUAUAAAAUUUUCACAAUUCUUUUUUUUUCUCUAUUAGGGUUUUUAUACGAGAAACAGAUCGAACGAAUAUAUUUCAUUUACCUUUUUCAGGGUGGAUCCGACUUUGUGUUCAUUACCUAAUAAUAAAAUAAUAUGUAUUUGAUGUGAUUUGCAUGCAUAUGAGAUGUUAGAUACAUAGGAGAGUGGCGAGCAAGAUGGAGGGAGACGAGCGAGAUUUGUUAUGUAUCUCAGAUACAUGUGAAUCCACUUGGAUACAAUGUAUUUAGAAUACAUUACACCUAAUUUUGAUCCCAUGUAUCCUGAGAUAUAUAUAUCUGGACGCAUCAAAAUCUGAUAAAAUUUGUAAUAUUGCAAACUAAAGUAUCAAGUAAUUAGCUUCUAAGCUAAUGAAAUUUAUGUAAGCUAACCUAAGAAAUAUGUAGUUAACACACACUAUUAGGUACAUUUUCACGGUAAAAAUCUCCUUAAGUACUAUUUGCAAUUAAAAUUUUAAAACAAAUGAGAACUCGGAAAUAGAAUAUCAAAAACAGGACGAAGUAAUAUUUUUUUUUUUUUAUAUAUAUAUAUAUAUAGUAAACCAUACAUGAUAUCGUGAUUAGUAGUAUUCCAAAUAAAUUUGGAAAUCAUGUAACUCCUAGUUACUUUGUAAAUAUGGAUCACUAAAUCACAAAAUAGUACAUUGCAUACAAUUGGACCAUGAACAUGUAGAUAUAGAGUUAAGGCCCAGUUUUUUAAGAAAACCUUGCAGAAAAGGGCCCUCAAUUAUAAGGAUUAGUUUAGUAGCACCCUCCAAAGUAUUAAUGUCUUCCCAAGCUUUUGAAGUCUUUUAAACUUGAGAGUUAAUUUGGGAAUCUUCAAGAUUUUUACCAUCUUUACCCUCUCCAUUUUCACUGUCCAAGGAUGAAAUAUUAACUGGAUAAACUUCGCAAUUGACUUUUGGGGGCAGCUCUUGAUCCACCUUUACCACGGUAGGUAAUUCUUUUUCUGUUGCGACGUUGUUUGACUUAGAAUUUCUGUAUAUUCCAUAUAAUAUCAUUUGGAGCACUCCUAGUAUCAUUCCCGAUAUAUUUGGUACCUGAUUUUUUAUUAUGUGCCGGAAGAACAACAAUUAGAAGAAAAACCAAACAUUAGUCACAUCAUGAAUUUAUGGGCACAAAUUAUGUUAAGCCAAUUUAACGUGUAAUCCUAUUAGGUUAUCUAAAUAAUAAUUAUAUGCAUGUAAUUGUUUAUCCUAGAUGACAUUUAGUGUGUUUAUGCGACAUUUUUCAUAGAUUGAGAGUCAAUUUGACUAAUCUUUGUGUGAAUUUGGAUCAACUCAACAUUUUAAAAAUUAAACUUAGAUUUUUUAAAGCAACACAAAAAGUACUAAGACAAUUAAAUAUCAAUCUUUCUCAUUACAGUUCAAUGAAAACAUAUAUUUUAAAAUGACGAUUAAAGCUCAAAUAGUUUGAAUCUCAAAAAAUAAAAAAUGUCACAUAAAUUGUUAUUAAGGGAGUAUAUAUUUACCGCGACAUAGAAGUCCUUCAAAAGUAAACCAUACAAAAACCACAUUACAGCACUAACUGUAAGAGCUAAUGACAAGUUAAAUGGCAUGAAUUCCACACUUUUGGUCCUUAUUACACGUCCCUGCAAUUUUACAAAAGAAAAAAAACAGAAUUAAAUGGCGUUUAUAAUUAGAGAACUGUCACGGGACUAAGUAACUAAGUUAUCAUAAAUUAAAAUUUAAAGAACGCCCUAAGCCCCUAACUAUAAAAGCAUCAAAAGAAUCGUGACUUGAACUUUCACCUUAUUAGUGAACGUUGGAUUAACCUACCCUAUUUUCCGUAAAACGAAAAAAUAAUAUAAAUAUAUAUAUAUAUAUAUUCAAAGUGAAUUACCAUAAUGCUUAGAGGUGCAACAAAUACACUGAUAGAAAAAGCCAUGCAAAUCCAUCCAAUAACUUCAGCUCUUUUUGUUCCUUGGCAUAAAAUUUGUGUGAGGAAAAGAAUCAAUCCAAAGACACCAAAAUUCAACAGUAGGACAAGUCCUAGUGUUUUCAUCUGCAAGACAAUUUCAAAUUUCAUAAAUCACAAAAUCGCGUUACAAUAAAAUAGGCACACACAUAUAUAUGGAAUUUAUAUGUAUACCCUUGCUUUUUUUGUAGCGUAAGUAAAAUAAAUCGCGACGUAAAUGGUCUCAGCAAUGCAGCCAAAAGAGUUGAUGGUGAUGAGAAGUGUAACAUUGGUUUUAACCAUUGCAUAGUAAAUCCAAAGCAUUGCACUAAAUAAUCCAACAACAUAUGGUAAUGAAUGGAACCCUUCUGAUGAUUUCUUCUUAACGAUCCUGUAAAAUGUUGGCCUGCAAAAUCAUGAUAUGUUGAAAAUAAAAAAUUGUGUAUAAAUUAAAGUUUAUAUGUGUAAUUAUUUUUGGAGAAAUAACUUACACUGGGGCAAUAAACACCAUGAAGGAAACUAAGUUACCUGCAACAUUGUCACAAAUGGAAAAGACAUAUUAAUUACUUCUCCUAUAUAUAUUUCUCAAACAAAAAAAAUUAUUCUAUUUUAAUGCAUGUAAUUAUAGUUUUAUCUAUUUUGAGGUGUUAAUUUAUUAGUAAGAAUUAGUUUAGAUAUACUUCCUUGAUCCAACUAGAUUGUUAUUUGUAAGAGCAUAUUAAUAGAAACAAAAUAGAACCAACUUGCUUGAAAAGAGUAAUUCUAUAGCUAAACAGUAAAAUUGGUUGCUGAUUCUAUGCUACGAGUGAAGUUAAUAACUAAUAAACAAGGCAUGCACAUGAAAAUAUGAUUGAAAUUUUACCCAAAAUGCCAAAGGUGAAGACCAAAGGAUGAGUAUGAGAGACACUAGUCAUUUUUUAUUUUCUUUCUUCUCUUCUCUAAGAAAGAAUUAGAAUUAAAAUUAAGAGUAAAAUGUAAAGGCUAAUUAGUGUUUGUUGAUGAUAAACAAGGGUGAUGGUCACAUAUUUAUAGUACAUGAAGAAGAGUUUAUGCAUAGAAUUGUUACUUAAGCACGACAAAAUGCUGACACUAUAUAUUAGCCCCCACUAACUAUAAUUAAACUAGCUGGAAAACUCCUAUCUCCUCCGCAACUCUAGCAAAACUAAAUAUUAAAAAUUCGUUUAAGCACCGUCAAUAAACAGUUUUCACACCAUUAGACAGUAAUAGUUAGGUAAUAAUAAUAUUUAAAUUCUAUAUUUUAAGAUAGAUAUUUUUGGGUGAUAGUACAUGCAAAUUUAAACUCUUUUAUCUCCUUCGCUUUUAGCUAUUCAGUAUUUCAAAAAAAAUAAAAAUCAUUUUAAUAUAUCAAAAAAAGAUAAUUACGUUUUUUUUAAUUUCUCAAAUCGUUUAUCAAGACCUGAGACUUAAGUUCUACGCUUUGACCAGUAAACGAUACUUCUUUUGUUUCUUUUAUCUGUCACAUUUUGCUUCACGAGAGUCAAUUUAACUAAUCUUCUAAAAGUAAAAUUGAAUUAGAUUAAUUCAAUAUUGCAAAUUUAAAAUUUAGAUAUUUAAAACUAUAUGAAAUUUUUCUAUUAAUAUGAUAAAAGAAUACAUCUUAAAAUAUUGAUCAAAAUUCAUACCAUUUAACUUUUUAAAAAACAAAACGAACCACGACAAGUAACAGAGCAGGGGGGGGGGGGUUUGAAAAUUGGGUCAUUAAUUAGGUAAUUAUAAAUUAAAAAAUAAUGAAGAUAAUUGAUAAUUUAAUAAAAAGUACAAAAAAAUUAUUAUUACGGUUUAAAUUUAAUAAUAAAUAAUAAUAUAAAACAUCUUUUAAGAUAACGAUGCAUGUAACUUAAUUCGAAAAAGGAAUGGGACAUAGCAUUUCGUGGCCGUCUAUUUUUGGAGGACUGAACUUUUAGUCCAUUGUACUUUUACCAGAAGCUAGUACUCCCUCCGUCCCUUUUUAGUUGUCCACUUUAGAAAUGACACACAGAUUAAGGCAACAAUGAUUAGCACAGUGAAGUUACAAUUUUAUCCUUAUGACAACUUUUCACUUCAAAAUUACAACCACUUAUUUGAAUUCAAGUGAAAUAAAUUGGAGGGAAACAACAUACACUUUUACAAUUUUCAAGAAGUGUAAAUAAGGGUAUAAUAGGAAAAAAUUUGUUGUCCUUUCUUGAUUUGUCAAAAUGGACAACUAAAUAGGGACAACUAAAAAAGGAAAUAUGGACAAGUAAAUAGGGACGGAGGGAGUACUUUUUAAAAAGAAAAUUACAGUUACAUAGGAGAUCUGAUAACGGAAAGAGAAAAAGAAGUGGAAAUAUUUACUCGAUGUUUACGUUAAAUCAAUUUAAAUUAUUAAAAUUAAGUAAUUAAUUAAAUAAAUAAAAAUACACAUUAACUUUUUAUAAUAAAAUAAUAGUUAUGUAUAUUUUAAUAUAUAUAUAUCAUGUAUAUAUUUGAUAUGUUGAUUUGACGUAAAUAUUUGAUAGAAAAUAAAGCCAUAGAUCUUGGUUGUUAGAUAAAAGUAUUUAAUUAGACCUAGGAACUUUAAAAAAAUUGGUGCUUUUAACCCAAUAUCUAAGCUAACUUAGUCAGCUUAACAGCCCUUUGAUAGAAACUAUGCUGGAUGGCAGCACUUCAUAACCUUGUGUUUCCAGGAACAAAAUGACAAAAGCAUCCCUUAAUGUUGGGAUUAAUUAAUUUAUUAAUUUAUUAAGCAAAUCCUUAAACAUAAUUCUAACUGUCACGUACUUGAUGGUAGGGGUGUGCAUUCGUUUUUUCGGUUUGGUUUUAUACUAUUCGGUUUGGAUUUUUGGUUUUUGGUUUUGUAAAAGUGUAACCCAAUCCGAUCCAAAAUAAAUUUGGUUUUGUUUGAUUUUCCUCUAUUCGGUUCGGUUUUUUUCGGUUUGGUUAUUCAGUUAUGUCAAUAAUUAAUAAUAUAUAUAACCAAAGUAAUAAUAUUUAAUCCCUUAAAUAUUCUUUCUAAUAUAAAUCAUUAGUAAAACUUAAAGCACAAUACUUAUAAGUAUACCUAUUAUAGAUGUAAUUCAAACAUAAAAUAUAAACGUAAUCAUCAUGAAAGGCAAUAACCAAAAAGGGAUAAAAGUAGCUAACUCCAACUUAAUUCUAAACCUAAACAUUAUAUAUAUAUAUAUAAUUCGGUUUUUAUUUUUUAAAAUUCGAACCAAACCAAAAAACCAAACAAAGUAAUUUAUUAAUUCAAAACCAAUCCGAAAAAAUAAAAAACAAUCUAAAUAAGAAUUCGGCUUGAUUUGAUUUGAUUUGAUUAUUCGGUUUAAUCUGAAUAGUGCACACCCCUACUUGAUGGCAAUAUAAUUUGUUCAAUAAGCAAAAUAAUCAUGUUAAGUAUGGAAAAUUAGCUAGUCAAAGAAAUGAAAUAAAAUGUGUUAGCUAUAGACGCCGCAAAAAAACCUGUCAAACAAAUGGAUCCAGUGUGUAACGAACGAUCAAGUAAUAUAUGGGUGGCUGAUUAACGGACAAAAUAUUAGAAUAUUGUCUAAUGUUCACAAAAUUUUAGGCUAUGAUAUAAAAUUUUCAAUUAACUUAAAAAUAUCCUUGAAUUAUAAAUUGUUGUCUAAAAAGAUCUUUAAGUUAUAAAAAAAGAAUAAGAUCAUUUACUAAAUUCUCGUGAUAUAUAUUGUAUUUGGUGUGAGUGUGACAUAAUUAAAAUUCGCGUGAUAGUUUAACCAUUUUAUUAUUCAUAUCCAAUAUGGGCAGAUUAGAUAUUUUAUUUAUUUUCAAGUGAUUUACUUUAUUUUAGUUAAUAUUGGCCUAUUUAUCACCCCUAAAUCCUAAUUGUAUACUAUCUUGUUACAAAAUAAGUGAUCAUUUAACCUUCUAGAUAAUACCUUGGAAAGUGCCGAUUAUUUAGAUGCAUAACAUUCUUUAACGUGUGAUCACACAUUUUGCUCAUUUCUUUGACUAGCUAGUUUUCCAUGGUUGACAUGAAUCCCUUUUUUUUUCUAAGUGAAUUAAUUAUGUAAUUCCAUCAAUUAAAUACAACACAAUAAAACACAAUGUAAUUUUAUGAAUGAGAUCUGAAAAAAGUAGUAAUUAUGCAAUCUUAUUUUUAAUUGUGUAAGAUAAAAAAGUUGAUAUCGAUUGAUCCUCAACAUUAAUCCUCCUCUUUUAUUCAAAUAAUGAGUUUGAUACAGAUAAUAUCAAUGUGUUUCCUCCAUUAGAACGCGACACAAUUAAUUCAACACAAAGUCUAUUCCAAUUUUGGAUUAAAAGAAAAAAAAAAGAAACACAUGCAUAAUAAUUGCAUAUAUACAGUACUAGUACUUAUUUAUUAUUGACUGUCAAAUUAAACGGACGGGUAUUAUACCAUCUUUUUAUUUUUUAUUUUUUACUCCAAUAAUUCAGCACUUUACGCCUAUUUCAGAUUCUUGCAUAAUAUGUCGUUAACUCCCCUUUCAUAUUUUUUUUUUAUUUUUUGUUACUUUUUUUUUUCGAGACCCUUCAGGUGCUCAAACACAUAGCAGUACUCUUUUUUUUUUCUCUUUUAAAUUAUAUAUAUGAGUAUUUAUUUAACAGUACUUGAAUGCCCCUAUAACUUGCAUCUUUCAUUAGCAAAAAGCACUAUACAAAUACAAUAUUAAUGUACCUACGAUACAAUAUCUCUAACGGGUCAUUUGGUAAAGUAUAUUAGAAAUUAAAAAAUAAUGUAUGUAUUAAUUUUGUGUAUUAUUAAUAUUUUAUUUGGUACAUUUUUUUAGCCUACAUAUUAUUAGUUAUGCACUUUAUUGUGUAUUGAUAUGUGUAUUACUAAUAUGAGUCCGGAGCCAAAAUGACAACUUUUUUCCUUCAAAAAACAAAAACGACAUGUAUUUUUUUCUUUUUGGUUAAAAAAAUAUUUGAUGUACCGUUUUUGUUUUUUGAAGGAAAAAAAUUACCCUUUUGACUUUGAAUUCUUACUAAUAUCAUGAAUUUGCAUGUAUUAGUAAUACAAAGGGUUUAAUUUCAACAUAUGUAUUAGAUUGAUUAAUAACAUAACUAUCCCUCAAAUUGAUCUCAAGACAUUUCCCAUUUCCCAAAGCGAAAGAGUGUGAAGAGUAUUUUACUAAAAAAACAUAUUUUCUAAUAGAAGUUAUGCAAAGUAUUUUAUGUUUAAUACACGUAAUCAAGCACUGCAUAAUAAAUAAUAUUAGUAUAAUUAAUACAAGUAUUACUAAAAUAUUCUAUUCAACAUUAUUUUUAUACGUUCUAUCAAACGACUCCUAAAUAUUUGACUAUGUACUUAACAUAUUGUAGAUAUCAAAAUUUUCUGGACUCUAUGAGAUGAAUCCAAUUUCAGCUAAGAUUCUUGGAGACUACUUUACCUUAAACAUUAGAUAAUAUAAUGCUUAUAUUAUAUAUAUAUAUAUGUGGUAAUAUAUUCUUUAAAAAAGUCAUCUGAAAUAUUCCAUAAACUCAUGCAAUAUUUACAAAAAAAUCAAGAUAUAAUCGGACUCUUCUUCACAAUCAAAUACAUUAGUAGAUACACAACGAGAUCCAAAUAAUUCUACAUUCAAGAAAUAUGUAAUUAACGUCCUUAAAUCACGGAGAAAAAUUCAGAGAGAAGAAUCAAAGAAAAACAUAUUUAUUCUCAUAUUAUUUAUUAAUAAAAUUAUAUUUUUUUAUAUUUUAUUUAUAGUUACAAUUUAUUUUCUAUCACUCUAAAAUCGAUCGUGAAUACCUAUAUAUCUCCUCAAAUUAAGUGUUCCAGACGAACUUAUAAACUGUCAUCAGCAAAAGGGUAUUGCGCUUUAUCUCUAUAUUGCUUUUUAAAUGUCACCUGUCAUUACCCAAUUCAUAAGUCACAGACUCUGUGUUUGUGGUUACAUGUGGAACCACAUGAUCUCAUCAUUAAAACUCCUUGCAUUUUAACACACUACUACGAUAAAAUAAAACAUUAAAGAUAGACAAUUUUAUUAUGGAAAUAACAAAAAUUUCCAUCUAUUUAUGAAUUAGCGACAGAUUAUACUAAAAUUUAAUUAGAUAGAAGUUAUUUAGUAAUGAAUUAGAUAAAGAUUACUGAUAAAAUUCGUAGUUAAUUUCAUAUUUUUUAAAUAGUGACAUAUAGAAACUCAAGAAACAAACUCUAUUUCUUCUAUAUUUUUGUAUAAAAUAUUAGGAGUAUUUAAUUUGUUGCCAUAAAAGGUACUUUUGCCAAACCUUUGAAGAAGUUAGGAUUGAUUUUUGAAAUAGUACGUGUUAUAGUUAGUUGUCGAUUGCAUGAAGAAGAUAAUAUUCAUUUUACGUGGUAAUCUUUCUAUCAAUAGAAUAAGAUAUCAAGAUUUGUUUACCCUAUUAAAAUAUGUUUCUAGCAUUAGACAAACAUAGUAAGGAUUUCAUUAGAUGGCGGAUUUAGGAUUAUUUUUUUUACGACUAAAACAAUUUAAAGAUAUUUUUAUAUCCCCGUGAUAUAUGUUAG
rnacentral:lncRNA from 1 species